AUCCUUUCCUGGCAGAGGAGACAACAUGAUCAUGAAGGUUGUUUUCCCAGGGCAAUGUUAUUCAUUGCAUUCCAGAUGUGUGACCUCUUUCUUUCCCCCAAAUGUGGGAAACCUGACUGCAUACUUUGUGACUUUGGGGGACUGCAUUCAUGCUUAA
ensembl:snRNA U1 U1 spliceosomal RNA